rnacentral:lncRNA from 1 species
CCUUCAAUUUCAUCUUCUUCAAAUAUAUCAUUGCCUUCUUCUACAUGUGUUUGCACCUGCAUUCUCUGCAUCCAGUACUACUUCAUCAAGCUCAUCUUGUCCACCUUUUACCAUUCCUUUGUUGCCUUUUUUACCUUCAUCUCUCCCGGUCCAUUCUGUUAUUCCCAGUUUUCUGCCUGGUUUCUCUAUGGUCCAAAGUGUCCAACCAUCUCUCUUACCUUAUGUUGGAUCAACUGAACCAACAAUUUCAUCUAUUUUUCACCCUGC